AUGCAAAGACAUGGAUUGGAUGGAUCCAUUGUCCAUAGCAUACCCUAAACUAAACCCUCCAUUCCAAACUCAACCAAAGUCGUUCAGAGAGAGUGUUUACACAAAGCCUGAACCUCAACCUAAAGUGAAAAACACACACACUUGCUAGUCCCUUCACAAUCACAAGGUUGAAGAAGACAUGGCCGAGGAUCGCAGCCUCCCUCCACGCGCCUCCAUUCCCUCCGCCGAUAACUCCGUUUGGGCCGAUGUCUCCCCUCUCCUCCAAGCCGCCUGCCAAGAUCUUCAAGAGGGAGAGCUUAUUCAUGGAGACAACUUCAAUCUUUUUGCCGCCAUGUCCGCAUUGGAGAUAAUGGACCCGAAGAUGGAUUCUGGAAUUGCUUGUACAUACUACUCUCUCGAUGAAGCCAUUGAGAAUGGUGUUGCUCCUGUUCCUAUUAGUGCGGAUAAAACUACUGAUGUUCGAUGCAUGAUUGACAUCAUGGACCAUCUACUUGCCUGUGAGGCAACAUGGCACAAGGGUCAUUCAUUGGCACAAACUGUUUAUUCUUGCCUCUAUCUUCUACGACCGGAAAGAACAUCGUCGCAUGCUCUGUUGCACUCUUACUGUAAAGUCAUACGUGCAACCUGCAAAGCAAUUCUUUCAGUUGUCUCAGAAGCUCGAACACAUGAAGAAGAGGAUCUAUUUACCAUGGCAUAUGGCCUUCCUUUGAGUGGAAAUGGGGAUGAAAAGUGUUUAUCAAUGCUAAAUGCUGUUGAAGAAACAAUAUCUCGCCAAUUGCGUGCUUGUAAGGCUUCAUCGUCAAAAAGAAGAGUGUCAGAAGAUGUUGAGCCGCUUCAAAAUAAUCCUGAUCUGGAAGAAGGCUACUGCAAAGCGCUGUUGUGUCGAUUACGUUUUCGUAAGCAUUUUUACCAUCUUUUGAUGUCUAUGAAACGACCCCAAGGAAGAGGUUUGGAGUUGGCAAGAAAACACAUAGCUUCAUGCAUUUCAGAGAUUGAUUACAUUUGGAAAUCUUCAGAAUUUCUUAGAGCUAAUGCUCAUGGAAUGUCUGAACAAAACAUAGACAAUACAACUGCAUCUGGUUGUCAACCAAUUGGCUUUGAUGCUAGUUUAAACUGUAGAUUAUCUGCCCCAACACCACCCCGGUCAAUCAAAAUUCUUUCUUUGGAAAAGGCCCUCGAAUAUUUCAUGAAACUCCUUCAAGACCUGGACGUUAUAUGUUCAUACUCAUUGGACCCAUCAUUGGAAGCUGCUUUACUCUUUGUGAUUAAAUUCCAGAAAUCUCAACCUGAUUUGGUUGCUAGAGCCCAUCUUCAGCUUCUGCUGGUCCAGGACGGGAAACUCUAUGGUCGGGAUCCUAUGUUUUCUAUGAUCACUAGAGCUGCUGGAUUACCUGAAGUCACAGAGAAUCAUGACAUUCAGAAAAAUGAAUUUAUGGUGCAACUAGGACAGUUGGUGAUAAAUUUACUCAAAAUUCUUUGUACAAAUGCUGCAUGGCAAAGGCGUAAGCUAGGGAAAAUGUUACAAGACUGGCGUGUCACCUAUGUACAGCUGGAGAUGGCUUUUAAAGGAGAGUUUGCAGAAGCCUCAAAAACUUCAAACAAUAAGAAAAUAUGUUUCAAAAUAUACCAACACAUUCUCGCAUGGGUAGAAGAGCAAACUUAUUGGAUAGCUUUUCGAUUUCUCAAUUUGGGAUUUGAAUUGGAGCUCUACUCUGUCCAUGACUAUUGCAUGGUAUACUGGUAUAUUUAUGUUGUGUUGAUCAAGCUUGCAGAGAAGAAACAUCUCCGGAUGGCAAUGAGCAGUGACUCUGCUAAGAAGAAGACAAAGAAAAAAAGGGAUUCUUUUAAGGAUGGGGAAAUGGAUUAUCAGAUCCCGGCAGCUGUUUUGUUUCUUCAAAGCCAAAUAUAUCUUGCUGAAGGGCUAAGCAUGCUAUCCAAUUAUUUUUCUAGAUGUUUGCUGCUUUGAGGAAUGAGCGCAGAAUAGUUCCACUGCAAAGCCCUUUCAACACAGAACAUGAGAUAUUUAUUCAGCAAUUCGAGCUUUUACAGAAAGCUUGCGUUCCUGAUCACAUCUCAUAUGUGACAUUCAAGGAGUCAACUAUGCAUGCUAAUUUCUCUACCCUAGCCAUCUGCGAUCACUUCAAGGAAGCUCAGAAGAUAGCAAAAGAGGUGAAAAGUAGUUUUGCCAAUGACCCUGACACGAUGGCCGAGCUGCGUAGAGUAGAGCAAGUAGCAGAACGCAACAGCAUUGCCUUGAAUGUUUGUCGGGCAGGAGCCCUUGAUCCAAAGUUGAAGACUUUUUUUACAUUCUGUCAUCAUCCUUUCUAUGCUACUGCUAUUGUGAAGAGAUCCUGAUAGUAGAUUCAACCAAUUUUGAAACAUUUUAUAGGGUGUUAGGAGCAAAUGAGUUGUGGCAUUAGCAGUUGUAACACUAGUAUUUAUUCAAACAAUUUUUGUGGUUCAUAUUAUUAGAUUGAAAUUGUAAUUUUUUUAUCAUAAGGAAAUAAAACAAAUAUUUAUGGUAA